rnacentral:tRNA from 1 species
GUCACCGCAGUGCAGAGGUUAGCAUAUCCGUCUAUGACGCUGAUUGUCCCAGGUUCGAAUCCUGGCGAGAAUA